CGAUCUAUGCCUAGGCACUGAAAGGCGAUGAAGGACGUGGUAUACUGCGAUAAGUUUCGGGGAGCUGUAUGCAGGCUUUGAUCCGAAAAUUUCCGAAUGGGGAAACCCACCACUUUAUGUGGUACUUCAAACUGAAUUCAUAGGUUUGAAGAGCUAACCCGGAGAACUGAAACAUCUAAGUAACCAGAGGAAAAGAAAUCAAUUGAGAUUCCGUUAGUAGUGGCGAGCGAACGCGGACUAGGCCAGUAGUUUUGUUAAAAAAAUUUGAAUAGUUUGGAAAUGCUAACCAUAGAGGGUGAUAGUCCCGUAUGAGUAAUGUUUAACAAAAUUCUUGAGUAAAGCGGGACACGUGAAAUCCUGCUCGAAUAUAGGGGGACCACCCUCUAAGCCUAAAUACUCUUCAGUGACCGAUAGUGAACUAGUACCGUGAGGGAAAGGUGAAAAGAACCCCUAUUAGGGGAGUGAAAUAGAACCUGAAACUGCAUGCCUACAAUCAGUCGAAGCUCUUUUUAGAGUGACGGCGUACCUUUUGUAUAAUGGGUCAGUGACUUAAUUUAUAAAGCAAGCUUAAGCCAUCUAGGUGUAGGCGCAGCGAAAGCAAGUCUUAAUAGGGCGAUUAGUUUAAUGAAUUAGACCCGAAAACGAAUGAGCUUACCAUGAGCAGGUUGAAAGUUGGGUAACACCAACCGGAGGACCGAACCAGUUGACGUUGAAAAGUCUUUGGAUGACUUGUGGUAAGGGGUGAAAGGCCAACCAAAUUCGUAGAUAGCUGGUUUUCCGCGAAAACUAUUUAGGUAGUGCGUUGAAUAAAUAGAUGUUUAGAGGUAGAGCACUAAAUGGGCUAGGGGGAAGAGAUUCUUACCAAACCUAAUAAAACUCCGAAUGCCAAGCGUUGUUCUUCAUCAGACAGACUGUGGGUGCUAAGGUCCAUGGUCGAGAGGGAAAGAGCCCAGACCACCAGAUAAGGUCCCCAAAUUAUGAUUAAGUGUGAAAGGAUGUGGAAAUUCCUUAACAGCCGGGAGGUUGGCUUAGAAGCAGCCAUCCUUUAAAGAUAGCGUAACAGCUCACCGGUCUAAUAGAGUUUCUGCGCCGAAGAUGUAACGGGGCUAAAAUCAUAUACCGAAUCUGUGGGUUUAUAAAAUUUUCGAAUUUUAUAAGCGGUAGCGGAACGUUCUGUAAGCCUGUGAAGGAGUACCCGUGAGGGACUCUGGAGGUAUCAGAAGUGCGAAUGCUGACAUAAGUAACGAUAAAAGAAGUGAAAAACUUCUUCGCCGAAAAUCCAAGGGUUUCUGCGCAAGGUUAAUCCGCGCAGAGUUAGUCGGCACCUAAGGCGAGGGCGAAAGCCGUAGUCGAUGGAAAUAAGGUUAAUAUUCCUUAACCAGAUGGUAGUGACGGAUCUUGUAAGUUGUGUACUCUUAAUGGAUUGAGUAUGCCGCGAAAAGGUUCCAAGAAAUAGCUCCAUCAUUAGACCGUACCCUAAACCGACACAGGUGGAUUAAUAGAGUAUAUUUAGGCGCUUGAGAGAAUGAUGUUGAAGGAACUCGGCAAAAUGCUUCCGUAACUUCGGGAUAAGGAAGACCUGUUUUUAGGCAACUAGAGAUGGGUGGCACAAGCCAGGGAGAAGCGACUGUUUAUCAAAAACACAGGGCUCUGCUAACACGUAAGUGGAUGUAUAGGGUCUGACGCCUGCCCGGUGCUGGAAGGUUAAUGCGGUUGGUGCAAGCUAACUUCUGAAGCCCCAGUAAACGGCGGCCGUAACUAUAACGGUCCUAAGGUAGCGAAAUUCCUUGUCGGGUAAGUUCCGACCUGCAUGAAUGGCGUAACGAUUUCUCCGCUGUCUCCAACAUCAACUCAGUGAAAUUGAAUUCUCCGUGAAGAUGCGGAGUUC
rnacentral:rRNA from 1 species